AUUGAACGCUGGCGGCAGGCUUAACACAUGCAAGUCGAACGGAACCUUCGGGUUUAGUGGCGAACGGGUGAGUAACACCUAGGAAUCUGCCUAUUAGUGGGGGAUAACGGCUCGAAAGGGUCGCUAAUACCGCAUACGUCCUACGGGAGAAAGAGGGGGAUCUUCGGACCUCUUGCUAAUAGAUGAGCCUAGGCCGGAUUAGCUAGUUGGUAGGGUAAAGGCCUACCAAGGCGACGAUCCGUAGCUGGUCUGAGAGGAUGAUCAGCCACACUGGAACUGAGACACGGUCCAGACUCCUACGGGAGGCAGCAGUGGGGAAUAUUGGACAAUGGGGGCAACCCUGAUCCAGCCAUGCCGCGUGUGUGAAGAAGGCCUCGG
rnacentral:rRNA from 1 species